UCGUGGGGGCCCCCAGGAAGCAAUGGGGAGGGAAAUGCUGCACGCCUGGGGGAGGAGACGGGGCUGAGGAUUUGGGGAAGGGGUUCAGAAGGGGUGGAGUUGGUGAGGGGCCGAGGGGCAUGAAAAAAAGGGGGAACGGCCAACAAUUUUUUUGCUUGGGGCAGCAAAAAUCCUAGAGCCUUCCCUGGUUGGGAAGACGCAAACAGGGGCUGUCUCCGGAGAGCGGGUGGGACAAUAUUGGAGGGUCAGGAGGGGCUUUCAGGCGAGACGGGGGGCAGGAUGUAGUGCAUGUGGUCUGGGGGAGCAGGGGUGGAGCUGGUCUCUCCCCAGGCUGCCGCCUGCAGCUCCACGGCUCUGGCCAUCCCCUGCCCCUCGCUCGCUGUCUGCCUCUCCCUCCAUGUCACCCCACUCAUCCUCAAUCAGGCUGAGGUGGGGGGAGGCGGGGGGGAAGCCCCCCCACAUUUUGCUCUGGCUAAACCCUGUUGCAAACAUUUGAGUUUUUCCUUUCCAAGCCGGAGAAGGAAAAUCUCCCACGGAUCCUGCCCCCUUUGAUAUGUACAGGGCUUAAAUUUGUGCUGGGGGAGCUUUUUCAUUACAAAUUAAGCACUGACCCCACUCCCCUCCCUCUGAAAUGGGUUAGGUGUGCUUGAAAGGCAGUGCUGCGUUUUUUUUCCCUUGAGACUUGGCAACACUACAAUAGGACCAGGCUGGAGAGGAGUGUCCUGCUGUGAGUUCCCUGUUUGUGCAGCAGCACUAUUUGCAUUCACCCCGCGCUGUAUGUGUUUAAUUAAUUACUUGGUAGAUAGGCACUCACGGUAGCUGGGUUCUAGUCCCAGGUCACCCAAGGUCACUCUGCAGGCCAGUGGUUAAUUCCUACCAUGCUCUGUGCCUCAGUUUCCCCUCUCUAGAAUGAUAACAACCCUGCUCUAAUACUAGGUGUCAUUAUUUCUGAAGGCAGCUUUGCCCCUAACCUUUCAGCUUGCAGGAGUAGGUUGAGGAGGUGAGUAGCAGGAUGAAUCUCACUCUUUCCUUACACUAUAAGUUGGUGCAAAGGGAGGGCUAAGCCAGGAAGGAUAGCCCCCUUGUGUGCUGCUUCUGCAGCAGGAGGCUGGGGUGCAUAUCCUCCCCCUGCUCCCCUUAAUGCAUUAUAUGAGUCAGUUUAUUUUGGUGAUUAUCCUGGCGGAUCCCGGCCCACACCUACCCCUCCCAGUCCCCCCACUCAGGGUGGGCAGGGGAGGUAUGUAGUAUUAUGAGCUGAAACUGACUCUAGGGGGCACCCAUGGGUGCAGCAUGGAGUAAAAUAGGUUAGUGGCAGGAGGGAAUGCAGCAAAGAAUAGUUUGUAAACCCUAGGGCUAGCUCAGCUUGGUAAGCAGCACACACUUCAGAGAGCCCCCCCAUUACCAUCAGGGAGCUUCCCACUUCUACCCUUCUGCAGGGCCCCUAGAGGACACAAUGCUGCCUUCCACCAGCGGAAGAGGACUUGGGGUGCUGCAGGCCCCUCUGCACCAGCACCUGUCCAGCUGCAGAGCAGAAGAGCUGAAACCAGGACAGGCGCUUGAAGCUAUGCCCCACCCACCCAAGAAGCUGUAUUCCUCUCCUAUGCUGAACUUAAGCCCACUCUGCUGGGCAGUGGCAUGAAGGGAGCAUGUCCUAGCCCUGCAGGCCUCUGUCACCAUAUACAGCCCACCUGAAGGCCUGUAUUGCUGAAGAGGAGGGGAGAGACCUACACAAGUCGAGAAGGAAAAGCAGAGGGCUAGAUGUCUUCACUCAUUCUAUGACCUCUCACUCCAGGUACACAGAUGAACCUACCAUAACCACAGGGGAAGAGGACUUUGGUACCAACAUCUCAAUUGCCAGCCCUCUGCAGGAGCAGCCAGCCAGAGAGACAGUCCCAUGCCAGGGACCAGUUCAGCCCCAGCAGGGUAGGUCCACAUACCAACCCAGCCAGUCUCCACUAUGCUCCACAGUAAAUCAGCUGGCAGUAACACGUGCACAAGGCUGGGGCUUUCAGGUUUUUUUAAUUUAGUUUUCUUGGAAAAAAAAAGAAAAGAAAAAAAACAGUAAGGCAAAAAACCCAAAACUAGAAGUGGAGGGAUUUUUUCUUCUUUUUUUAAAUUUAAAUCUACCAGUGUCCCUCCCAUGGAAAUAAAGGGCCCAUGCCCCCUCUGUGCCUUCUCCUGUCCCAACAAGCAGGGAUCGGUUAGCACUGGGCUUGGCCUCAUCUCACCAAGCUGGCGAGAGGGGACCCGCCCCAUCCAGCCAGCAGUCUAGCACAGGCAGCACAAGCACUGCUCCCUCACCCUGUUGGCAGAGGCGGUGGAGUCGGGGGGGGGGGAACCCAGAAUGAAA